rnacentral:rRNA from 1 species
GAUGAACGCUGACAGAAUGCUUAACACAUGCAAGUCAACCUGUGGUGGACGGGUGAGUAACGCGUAAAGAACUUGCCUAACAGUUAGGGAUAACAUUCGGAAACGAAUGCUAUAACCUGAUACUGUGAGAGAGCUUUGCGUUCCAUUAGCUAGUUGUAGAGGUAACGGCUCAGCAAGGCGAUGAUGGGUAGCCGGCCUGAGAGGGUGAGCGGCCACACGGGGACUGAGUCACAGCCCUGACUGCUGCGGGAGGCAGCGGUGAAGGCUAUUGGGCAAGAGGCCAAAGUCUGAUCCAGCAAUGCUGUGUGCACGAUGAAUUUUUCGGGAUGUAAAGAGCUUUCAGUUGUAAAGCUGUACCAACAGAAGAAGUGACGGCUAACUACGUGCCAGCAGCCGCGGUAAUUC